CCUACGGGGGGCAGCAGUGAGGAAUAUUGGUCAAUGGGCGUAAGCCUGAACCAGCCAAGUCGCGUGAGGGAUGAAGGAUCUAUGGUUCGUAAACCUCUUUUAUAAGGGAAUAAAGUGCGGGACGUGUCCUGUUUUGUAUGUACCUUAUGAAUAAGGAUCGGCUAACUCCGUGCCAGCAGCCGCGGUAAUACGGAGGAUCCGAGCGUUAUCCGGAUUUAUUGGGUUUAAAGGGUGCGUAGGCGGCCUUUUAAGUCAGCGGUGAAAGUCUGUGGCUCAACCAUAGAAUUGCCGUUGAAACUGGGGGGCUUGAGUAUGUUUGAGGCAGGCGGAAUGCGUGGUGUAGCGGUGAAAUGCAUAGAUAUCACGCAGAACCCCGAUUGCGAAGGCAGCCUGCCAAGCCAUGACUGACGCUGAUGCACGAAAGCGUGGGGA
rnacentral:rRNA from 1 species